AAUAGGGCCUAAGAGGUCACAGCCUGGACCAAGAUCUUUUGUGCUAGGGACUGAACCCUAACCCUAACCCUGCUUCCGAAGAAUUGAUGACCAGCCAUUGUAGGAAGCACAAAGGAAAGUUCAUCAACAGAAUCCCAAGUUUUCCUUUGACACCUAACAAAACCCCCUUCAGAUGUAGCACCUGGGCUGCAGUUUCAUGUGUUACUAUUAAAAUUCCUCUGAGAUUCA